AGCGAACGCUGGCGGUAUGCUUAACACAUGCAAGUCGAGCGCGAAAGUGACUUCGGUCAUGAGUAGAGCGGCGGACGGGUGAGUAACACGUGGAUAAUCUGCCUUUAGGACUGGGAUAACCCUGGGAAACUAGGGCUAAUACCGGAUAAGACCACAGGUUCCAUGGAACCAGGGGUAAAAGGCGGCCUUCGGGCUGUCGCCGAAAGAUGAGUCCGCGUCCCAUCAGGUAGUUGGUGAGGUAACGGCUCACCAAGCCGAAGACGGGUAGCCGACCUUAGCGGGUGAUCGGCCACACGGGGACUGAGACACGGCCCCGACUCCUACGGGAGGCAGCAGUGGGGAAUCUUGGGCAAUGGGCGCAAGCCUGACCCAGCAAUACCGCGUGAGGGAUGAAGGCCUUC
rnacentral:rRNA from 1 species